ensembl:lncRNA
AGUCUAACCGGAGUACAAGUGCAGUGUAUAUAUUUUGCCUAUGAUGAUAUGGGAAAGCUAAGGUGCAUUAACAGUAAUACACUUUAACUGCACUUUAACACUGAUGUAAACUUUAACAAACAUAAACUGUGACACAAUAAACCAAAGGCUUACAACUAACCUGUUACAAAGGGGAUGGACAACUAAUAGCAUAUUAACUGACAUACAAGCAGUAAAGACACCUGUAAUAACACCUGAACAGGUCUAAUGUUAACUUACCAAAUGUCACUGAUGAAUUUAAGGUGGAGUAACAGUAACACAUGUCGACUCAGCAAUGUAUUGAUUAUUAAACAAUGCUGCUAUCGUCCAAAGUAAGCUAGCAAGCUAACACUCUGCUCCCACAACGGGAACUACGAUCAUUAAACUAUUAAUUUCAUUCACUUCAUCACAUUGACGUUACAGUACCUCUAUCUUCUUCACGUUUUUCUUCCUCUUCUUUCCUUCUUUUCACUGGGCGCCGGAUGGUUUCAGUCUAUUGGACCUUGUGGUUCCGCUACAGCAUCAGUAAAUCUCUCUCUGGGUCUUGGGGUCUCGGUCCGGUCAGAUUCAGGCAGCUCACCUCUCGACCCGCCCCCCUCACAGAGGACAGAGCACCGAGCCAGAACCCAGAAAAAAGGCUUCUCCGUUAGUUAAUAGAGUGGCGAAGUCCCGCCCCUUCCGGUGGACCCCAUGGGACCUCUGGGAUCGUAAAAUAUACAUGGGAUUGAAUGGACAGAAAGUAAUUAUUUUCUGGUCCCAGUCGUUAUAUGCCUUGGAUUACACACAUGUUGUUUGUGGGUUUAAAUGAUAUUUUUUCAUGUCAAGAGUUUGACAGUCUAUUGUGCAAUUGUUCAGUUAAAGGCUGUAGAGAAGAAAUGAUGAGAAAGACUACAUGUCGCGUAUGUGACGUCACGUCAUCAACUUUUCCCUCCGCUGUCAAGUGGCUAAGCAAGGUUCCUGUAUUUCAAGAUGCUGGUGUGUUUUGUACCAGUCCUCAUUCGAGCAGGCACGGCUGUUGUUUCUUUCGGAUCCCUUCAGAUGUGAAGAAUCGCUGGCUCAAAUUGAUCCGGAACAGCUAAAGCCCCCAACCAGGACUGAUGGACACAGGAAUUUUCAGGUCAAGUGUUUUAUUAAUUUUACUGCAUCACAGUUAGCAGUGUCAGCAUACACAGCAGUAUCUACAACUGACCAGUGACCAAAUUAAGCACUUAACAACCAAGAACAUGUCCACAAGUCUCCCAGUCCCUCAAAUUGUGCACAAUGCACCACCCCAUGUCAAUCAUAUUACACGCAAUAUGUGGGAUAGUGCCUUGUGCAUAUGUUGUGACUUUUCAUCAUGGCAUUAUUAAUGCAAUUAAUUAUUUAAGCAUCAAUCAGACCUCACAUGAACGUUUACACACCAAAAAUGUAACAGCGUAGCUUUUUAAGUGAGUUUAAGUUAGCAUUAAUUCCAUUUUUAUCACAAGUUUGUUUUCUAUAUUCUCUCCUCAGCACCAUCAUAUCCUGUUCCUGUGUGUCCUGCUUGCAAGUCAGCGCCUUGGAUUUGUAUACCAUUUCAAAUAAAUUAAGUUGACUGUAGUUAUGACCUUGAGCUGUGUUUCUUUGAGUCAAAAACAAUGUUUGUGUUUAAAAACAAUCAGACAGUCUUUAACAGAAUACACGCUUACUUUAUUCCCAAUGUGAAAGAUGACAGUCAUUUACCUAGAUUAGUGUUUAUAACUUAGAUUUUAUUCAAAUCCUCAAGUUCAAUAUUCAUGUCAGAUAAAUUGUAUGGGCUGUGAGUGUGAUUUUAUAUUUUAUCACCACACACACUCAUUUGUAAAAAUCUUACCUGAUGUUUCAAUGGCUUAACUAUGAUAUUAAGCCUAAUUGCAAAGAUAUAAUUACAGUGUAGGACAAAAGACUGG